AGGCCGAUGGCGACCGGCGCACGGGUGAGUAACACGUAUCCAACCUGCCGUCUACUCUUGGACAGCCUUCUGAAAGGAAGAUUAAUACAAGAUGGCAUCAUGAGUCCGCAUGUUCACAUGAUUAAAGGUAUUCCGGUAGACGAUGGGGAUGCGUUCCAUUAGAUAGUAGGCGGGGUAACGGCCCACCUAGUCUUCGAUGGAUAGGGGUUCUGAGAGGAAGGUCCCCCACAUUGGAACUGAGACACGGUCCAAACUCCUACGGGAGGCAGCAGUGAGGAAUAUUGGUCAAUGGGCGCAGGCCUGAACCAGCCAAGUAGCGUGAAGGAUGACUGCCCUAUGGGUUGUAAACUUCUUUUAUAAAGGAAUAAAGUCGGGUAUGUAUACCCGUUUGCAUGUACUUUAUGAAUAAGGAUCGGCUAACUCCGUGCCAGCAGCCGCGGUAAUACGGAGGAUCCGAGCGUUAUCCGGAUUUAUUGGGUUUAAAGGGAGCGUAGAUGGAUGUUUAAGUCAGUUGUGAAAGUUUGCGGCUCAACCGUAAAAUUGCAGUUGAUACUGGAUAUCUUGAGUGCAGUUGAGGCAGGCGGAAUUCGUGGUGUAGCGGUGAAAUGCUUAGAUAUCACGAAGAACUC
rnacentral:rRNA from 1 species